UUACUUUCAUACAUUGCAUAAAGGCCCAUUGCAAUUGUCCUGACUCUCAUUUCAGAAAAUCAAAGAAAUCUAUAUGUCAGCCAGGCACAUGAGUGUUGCUCAUCCAGUGUACAGGGCUUGACGAUCUGACUGAGCACAGCCAUCGUGGACACAAAACUUCUUUAUGUAAGAAGAAAACUGCAAUAGCAGCACUUUCACAUUUCAUCUGUUGUCACCAAAAACAGGAAUUAGUACGUCAACAGUACUGAACUGCAGGGCUCUCCCAGGAACUUCAGCAGGGAAAGGAGCAGAACGUGGGACCACCUGGCGGCCCCACUCCUGCAGCUCCUCUGGCGCGGCUGCACUGCUCCCCCAAACCCCCAUUCCUGUCCUCCAGCGGGGCUGGCUGCUGUACACUACAGACAGAGGAUACCCUACAUCAGGGAUCGGCAACCUUUGGCACUCAGCCCACCAGGGUAAGCCCCAUGGUGGGCCAGGCCAGUUUGUUUACUUGCCACGUCUGCAGGUUCAGCCAAUCACAGCUCCUAUUGGUCGUGGUUCGCCAUCCCCGGCCAAUGGGGGCUGCUGGAAGCCGCGCGGGCUGAGGAAUGUCCUGGCC
rnacentral:lncRNA from 1 species